UAUGGCUCCUAUCUUUAGCAAUCACGAUGUACUCUUGCUGUCACUCCUGCAUGCCAGGCAGCAGGACAAAAGAAGAAAUGAAGACGGACCAGGUUCCACGAAGCUGCCACAUGACAUUUCUGUGUAUAGCCCAUGAGUCAGGACUUCCUUUCAUGGCCAUAUCUGGUUCAGACUGGCAGUGGUCUUCUUCUCUGGAGGUCAUGCACCUCCCUUAAAAAGUGAGGAUGCAGCAUUUUUCUUCUCUGGAGGACAUAGCCUUUGAGGCAUCAUCUUGGAAAUAGAGACCAAAUCUUCAUCAGACACUGAACCCAUCAAAGCCUUAUUCUUGGACUCCACAGUCUCCAGACCUAACCAUUCAAGAGUAAAAAAUGAUGCAAUGGGAAAACUGGAAAAUUAACGCCAAUGAUGCAUUUUCUGAAACCUGAACUUUGGACUCCAAUCAGUUUGAGAGCUCAUCUGCUCUACCCUUCUCUUUCCUAGCGAGGCUCCUACUACAAUGCAAAGAUGCAAGUGUUGCCAGACUGUGGUCUCUCUGGCCAGGUAUCUGUGCCCUUGGAGGAGCAGGUUGAACUUCUUAGCUUCAGCCCCUCCUCUGAGUAGCACUAGUGCUAUGGUACUUGAUUGAGUAUGUAACACUUUGAGUUCACAGGGUUGCUGCAAAGGUGAUGAUAUACACACUGACCUUGGAAAUAGUAUGGAAGUUACAUUUUUAUAAACUUUUAUUUAAUUCAACUUAAGAAAACAUUAUAUUACCUUAGUUUACACCAAGAAUUGGCAACUAUGGCCUGCUGCCCACUCCCAAAGCCUGAAAGCUAACAAUGGUUUUAAUAUUCUUAGUGGGUUAAAAAUUAAAAGAAGACUAUUAUUUCAUGAUGUGAAAAUCAUAUGAAAUUCAAUUUUACAUUGUAGGAAAUUAUUUUCUCUCUUAUUAUGUAAGUACCCAUAUAAUGUCCUGACAAUAAUAGCACCUCGGAUAAAUCUCAUUGGUUACGCUACUACCACUGAACAAAGCUAUCUUCAUAUAUUCUUUUUGCAGAUUCCCUUGGUUAGAUUAGCAUGAAAUUUAGUGUUAGGCAGACCAGGGUUGAUCCACAGAGCCACCAUUUACUAUAUGAUCUUGAGCAAGGUAUUUUAAGUCUUGGUUUCCCCAUCUAUAAAAUAUAUGAGUAUAAUGACAGGCUCAUUUGCGCUGCUGAAACCUUUGCUGCUGCUGUGGUUUAGAUAUAAAAUGUCUCCCAAAGGCUCAUAUGUUGAAAGCUUGGUUCCUAUGCAGCAGUGUCCAGAGAUGGGGCUGUGGGGUGGUAAUUGUAUUAAGAGGGCUCUGAUUAAAUCAGUGGAUUAUUCCAUUGAUGGGUUAAUAAUUGAAUAGACAAUGGGGAGGUGGUGGAACCUAUAGGAGGUGGGGCCUAGGGGGAGGAAGAAAGUCACUGGGUAUAUGCUCUGGAUGGGUAUAUCUUGUUCCAUGACCCUUCCUCUCUCUCUGCUUCUUGGCUGCCACAAGGUGAGCAGCUUUGCUCUGCCAUGCCCUUCUGCCAUGAUGGUUGCAUUGUUUAGCUUCCAUGUUGCUGGGACCUAAUACCCAAAACCUAUGAGUUAAAGAAGGUAAUAGCUUCUUUGGCUCAUAGUUUCAUAUCACGAUCAGCUGGCUCCAAAGUAGGAACAUUAUGGUAGAAGGGUAUGGCACAGCAAAGUUGCCCACUUCAUGGUGGCAGGCAAGUAGAGCAGGGAAAAAGCACUAGAGAGGUAAUGGCGUAGACCCACCCAAGUGUUAUGGUUUAGAUUAGAAUGUCCUCAGAUGUAGGGCUUUUGGAAGGUGAUUGGA